rnacentral:rRNA from 1 species
UACGAAGGGGGCUAGCGUUGCUCGGAAUCACUGGGCGUAAAGCGCACGUAGGCGGCUUUUUAAGUCAGGGUGAAAUCCCAGAGCUCAACUCUGGAACUGCCUUUGAUACUGGGUAUCUCGAGUAUGGAAGAGGUGAGUGGAAUUCCGAGUGUAGAGGUGAAAUUCGUAGAUAUUCGCAAGAACACCGAGUGGCGAAGGCGGCUCGACUGGCCCGGUACUGACGCUGAGGUGCGAAAGCGUGGGGAGCAAACAGG